AUGUGGGAAGAAUGCUUGCCUCAUAUUGAGUUUGCUUAUAAUCGUUCAUUGCAUUCUACUACUAAGAUGUGCCCUUUUGAAAUUGUGUAUGGUUUCCUACCUCGUGCACCUAUUGAUUUGUUGCCUCUUCCAUCUUCGGAGAAGGUUAAUUUUGAUGCUAAACAACGUGCUGAAUUGAUCUUAAAAAUGCAUGAGUUAACUAAGGAAAACAUUGAGCGUAUGAAUGCUAAAUAUAAACUUGCUGGAGAUAAGGGUAGAAAACAUGUUGUGUUUGCACCUGGAGAUCUUGUUUGGUUACAUUUGCGUAAGGAUAGAUUUCCUGAUUUGCGCAAAUCAAAGCUAAUGCCACGUGCUGAUGGUCCUUUUAAGGUGUUAGAGAAAAUAAAUGAUAAUGCAUAUAAACUUGAGCUGCCUGCAGAUUUUGGGGUUAGUCCCACUUUUAAUAUUGCAGAUUUGAAGCCUUAUUUGGGUGAGGAAGAUGAGCUUCCGUCGAGGACGACUUCACUUCAAGAAGGGGAGGAUGAUGAGGACAUCAAUACAAUUAUUACACCCACAGUCCCUGCUGCUAUACAUACUGGACCAAUUACUAGAGCUCGCGCACGCCAAUUAAAUUACCAGGAAACAGACCCUCGUGGUCAGGUUGAUCGUGCUCCGGCGUGGUCGAUAACCUCUCGGAGUUGGUUUAGCGAUUGCUAA
rnacentral:rRNA from 1 species